UGCUCUCUCUGGCAGCACAUAUACUAAAUUGGACCAAUACUGAGCAGAUUAGCAUGGCCCUGCACAAGGAUGACACGUAAGAAUUUCACUUUCUCCUCCUCCAU